AGGAGAAGGGAAGAACGGCCAUUUUGAUCUCUCUGAGGGGAUCUUGUUUGGUGACAAGGUUGUUGCUACCUGUAACACUGGCUAUAUGCUUGUGGGCAGCGAUGUAAGGACCUGUAUGGACGGAGGCUGGGAUGGCAGAGUUCCUUUAUGUGAAGUGGUGAAGUGUGG